rnacentral:tRNA from 1 species
GGGGUUGUGGCUCAGUGGUAGAGUGCUUGCCUAGCAUGCAUAAGGCGCUGGGUUCGAUCCUCAGCACCA